GUCUUUGUGGCUCAGUUGGUUAGAGCGUUGGUCUCAUAUAUCUCUAUAUGAUUAGAUUGUUCACAAUCUGGCCAUCCAAAGGUCGAGAGUUCGAGUCUCUCCAAGGACA
rnacentral:tRNA from 1 species